GACGAACGCUGGCGGCGUGCUUAACACAUGCAAGUCGAACGAAGUGGCGAACGGGUGAGUAAUGUAUGGGGAUCUGCCCGAUAGAGGGGGACAACAGUUGGAAACGACUGCUAAUACCGCAUACUGAAGGAGGGGAUUGCGUCUGAUUAGCUAGUUGGAGGGGUAACGGCCCACCAAGGCGAUGAUCAGUAGCCGGUCUGGGAGGAUGAACGGCCACAUUGGGACUGAGACACGGCCCAGACUCCUACGGGAGGCAGCAGUGGGGAAUCUUCCGCAAUGGACGAAAGUCUGGCGGAGCAACGCCGCGUGAGUGAUGACGGCCUUCGGGUUGUAAAGCUCUGUUAAUCGGGACGCGGUACCGGAAUAGAAAGCCACGGCUAACUACGUGCCAGCAGCCGCGGUAAUAC
rnacentral:rRNA from 1 species